rnacentral:rRNA from 1 species
GCGACAGGCUUAACACAUGCAAGUCGAGGGGCAGCACAGGUAGCAAUACCGGGUGGCGACCGGCGCACGGGUGAGUAACGCGUAUGCAACUUGCCUAUCAGAGGGGGAUAACCCGGCGAAAGUCGGACUAAUACCGCAUGAAGCAGGGGCCCCGCAUGGGGAUAUUUGCUAAAGAUUCAUCGCUGAUAGAUAGGCAUGCGUUCCAUUAGGCAGUUGGCGGGGUAACGGCCCACCAAACCGACGAUGGAUAGGGGUUCUGAGAGGAAGGUCCCCCACAUUGGUACUGAGACACGGACCAAACUCCUACGGGAGGCAGCAGUGAGGAAUAUUGGUCAAUGGGCGUAAGCCUGAACCAGCCAAGUCGCGUGAGGGAUGAAGGUUCUAUGGAUCGUAAACCUCUUUUAUAAGGGAAUAAAGUGCGGGACGUGUCCCGUUUUGUAUGUACCUUAUGAAUAAGGAUCGGCUAACUCCGUGCCAGCAGCCGCGGUAAUACGGAGGAUCCGAGCGUUAUCCGGAUUUAUUGGGUUUAAAGGGUGCGUAGGCGGCCUUUUAAGUCAGCGGUGAAAGUCUGUGGCUCAACCAUAGAAUUGCCGUUGAAACUGGGAGGCUUGAGUAUGUUUGAGGCAGGCGGAAUGCGUGGUGUAGCGGUGAAAUGCUUAGAUAUCACGCAGAACCCCGAUUGCGAAGGCAGCCUGCCAAGCCAUUACUGACGCUGAUGCACGAAAGCGUGGGGAUCAAACAGGAUUAGAUACCCUGGUAGUCCACGCAGUAAACGAUGAUCACUAGCUGUUUGCGAUACACUGUAAGCGGCACAGCGAAAGCGUUAAGUGAUCCACCUGGGGAGUACGCCGGCAACGGUGAAACUCAAAGGAAUUGACGGGGGCCCGCACAAGCGGAGGAACAUGUGGUUUAAUUCGAUGAUACGCGAGGAACCUUACCCGGGUUUGAACGCAUUUUGACAGCUCUGGAAACAGAGCCUCUAGCAAUAGCGAUUUGCGAGGUGCUGCAUGGUUGUCGUCAGCUCGUGCCGUGAGGUGUCGGCUUAAGUGCCAUAACGAGCGCAACCCUUGCCACUAGUUACUAACAGGUAAAGCUGAGGACUCUGGUGGGACUGCCAGCGUAAGCUGCGAGGAAGGCGGGGAUGACGUCAAAUCAGCACGGCCCUUACAUCCGGGGCGACACACGUGUUACAAUGGCGUGGACAAAGGGAGGCCACCUGGCGACAGGGAGCGAAUCCCCAAACCACGUCUCAGUUCGGAUCGGAGUCUGCAACCCGACUCCGUGAAGCUGGAUUCGCUAGUAAUCGCGCAUCAGCCAUGGCGCGGUGAAUACGUUCCCGGGCCUUGUACACACCGCCCGUCAAGCCAUGGGAGCCGGGGGUACCUGAAGUCCGUAACCGAAAGGAUCGGCCUAGGGUAAAACUGGUG